ACCAGCCGGAGGAGCACCCACAGACAGGAGCAUCUACAGGAGGACCAUCAUAGGACAGGAGGACUAGCGGGAGGAGCACCCACAGACAGGAUCAUCUACAGGAGAAAGAUGCCAAGCCAACAGUUAACAGCUAUCAAAGAAGCAGAUACCAUGCCCUGACGGGAAGGACCUUCCAUUCACCCUGGAUUGUAACAUCCCCGCUCUGCACAUGACAUCCAGCCAAAUGAGUGCUGUGCUAACAUGAUCAAAUUGUGCCAAUAGCACCGUGAAACAAAUUUUCUUCAAUUAGUCAUUCAAGAACUAACAGACAAUUGCCAGGCAUCAACAUGCAGCUCUCUGGAAUAGACAUGUCAAUUCCUCCAGAUGACUACCAUGGACUACUUUAACAGUUGGCUGUUUUAUUUCUC